rnacentral:rRNA from 1 species
UACGGGGGGAGUAAGCGUUGUUCGGAAUUACUGGGCGUAAAGGGCUCGUAGGCGGCCAACUAAGUCAUACGUGAAAUCCCUCAGCUUAACUGGGGAACUGCGUGUGAUACUGGAUGGCUUGGAUUUGGGAGAGGGAUGCGGAAUUCCAGGUGUAGCGGUGGAAUGCGCAGAUAUCAGGAGGAACACCGGUGGCGAAGGCGGGUCUCUGGGCAGUAACUGACGCUGAGGAGCGAAAGCGUGGGGAGCGAACAGG